rnacentral:rRNA from 1 species
GAUGAACGCUGGCGGCGUGCCUAAUACAUGCAAGUCGAGCGAACGGACGAGAAGCUUGCUUCUCUGAUGUUAGCGGCGGACGGGUGAGUAACACGUGGGUAACCUACCUAUAAGACUGGGAUAACUUCGGGAAACCGGAGCUAAUACCGGAUAAUAUUUUGAACCGCAUGGUUCAAAAGUGAAAGACGGUCUUGCUGUCACUUAUAGAUGGAUCCGCGCUGCAUUAGCUAGUUGGUAAGGUAACGGCUUACCAAGGCAACGAUGCAUAGCCGACCUGAGAGGGUGAUCGGCCACACUGGAACUGAGACACGGUCCAGACUCCUACGGGAGGCAGCAGUAGGGAAUCUUCCGCAAUGGGCGAAAGCCUGACGGAGCAACGCCGCGUGAGUGAUGAAGGUCUUCGGAUCGUAAAACUCUGUUAUUAGGGAAGAACAUAUGUGUAAGUAACUGUGCACAUCUUGACGGUACCUAAUCAGAAAGCCACGGCUAACUACGU